GCGAGGCGUUCUAGUACUCGUGCCGCCGGUACAGCAGCUCCUCCGUCCAGGAGUCGACCACAUCCGUUGGUGCUACCUCGAGAGGGACUGCAAAUAUUCAGAGUGCCAACAGAAAGAUCUAUGCGGGUAUCCAGAAUGUAGAAAAGGAGUAUCUUUAGAAAAGAAGUUAACUCACCUGCUAUUGGUGACUGUUGAUAAGGAAGUGACACGGCAAGAGGCAUUGGUGCUGUACAAAGACACAUGAAGCUUGGCUGUAAUUUGGAGUUGUACAAAGGCACUGGAGGCAGGAUUUGCUGUAAUUUGGCUAUCAAGUACUUGUUAUCUUUACCAUCUUGUGAUAAGUGUGCAUAACAGUAUGUGUUAAGGCUUCUGUUGGGCAAGCCGUAGCGGCGAGUUCAGCGCACCGCAACCGAGGUUUUGGCUACAAUUUUCUCAGGAUGCAUUACUUGAAGGAAUCUGGAAGACCUGGAGCGGUGGCCUUCUUAUUUGACACCAUGUUGUGUCUAGGUAGAUUCUGGUAAGUGCUAAGUGCUAAGUGUAUGUGCUGUGCAUAGUAACCAAGGUGAAUUCCAUUGAUAAAGUGUAUUUGUUUUUCCAUACUAGCUUAAUUGUACUCGGUUCUUUUCUGAUAUGCAAUAUUUUUCUAAUAUGUGAGGUGCACUAGAGUAUGCGGUGCGGCUGCUGCUCGGUUGACAGUGAUGGCGAGUUAAUCGUGCCGCAAUUGUGGUGGUGGUGCCAUCAUGGCUGCGCCUAAAGUUCUUUCUGGCGAGUCAAUGCACUGGUUUUGGCCAUCUAGCCAUUGACCAUUUAAUUAUUAGUGGUUUUUAUCUGCUACUGGAUUGCGCUCCU